rnacentral:rRNA from 1 species
UACGUAGGGUGCAAGCGUUAAUCGGAAUUACUGGGCGUAAAGCGUGCGCAGGCGGUUCUAUAAGACAGAUGUGAAAUCCCCGGGCUUAACCUGGGAAUGGCAUUCGGGACUGCAAGGCUGGAGUGCGGCAGAGGAGACUGGAAUUCCUGGUGUAGCAGUGAAAUGCGUAGAGAUCGGGAGGAACACCGGCGGCGAAGGCGGCUGCCUGGACCGGCCCUGACGCUGAGGCGCGAAAGCUAGGGGAGCAAACAGG